AUACGUAGGUGGCAAGCGUUGUCCGGAAUUAUUGGGCGUAAAGCGCAUGUAGGCGGUGCCUUAAGUCUGUCGUGAAACUGCGGGGCCUAACCCCGUAUGGCGAUGGAAACUGUGGCACUUGAGUGCAGGAGAGGAAAGGGGGACUCCCAGUGUAGCGGUGAAAUGCGUGGAUAUUGGGAAGAACACCGGUGGCGAAGGCGCCUUUCUGGAUGGUGUGUGACGCUGAGAUGCGAAAGCCAGGGUAGCGAACGAGAUUAGAUUGCCCGGUAGUCCUGGCCGUAAACGAUGGGUCCUAGGUGUGGGAGGUAUCGACCCCUUCCGUGCCGGAGUUAACGCAAUAAGUACCCCGCCUGGGGAGUACGGCCGCAAGGCUUAAACUCAAAGGAAUUGACGGGG
rnacentral:rRNA from 1 species